rnacentral:SRP_RNA from 2 species
GCCGGGUAUGGUGGCGCAUGCCUGUAGUCCCAGCUACUCGGGAGGCUGAGGUAGGAGGAUGGCUUGAACCCAGGAGAUCAAGGCUGCAGUGAGCUAUGAUCGCACCACUGCACUCUAGCCUGGGCAACAGAGUGAGAUUUUGUCUCAA